rnacentral:rRNA from 1 species
GACGGAGGAUGCAAGUGUUAUCCGGAAUCACUGGGCGUGAAGCGUCUGUAGGUGGUCAAAUAAGUCAACUGUUAAAUCUUGAGGCUCAACCUCAAAAUCGCAGUCGAAACUAUUAGACUAGAGUAUAGUAGGGGUAAAGGGAAUUUCCAGUGGAGCGGUGAAAUGCGUAGAGAUUGGAAAGAACACCGAUGGCGAAGGCACUUUACUGGGCUAUUACUAACACUCAGAGACGAAAGCUAGGGUAGCAAAUGGG